rnacentral:rRNA from 1 species
UACAGAGGCCUCGAGCGUUAGGCGGAAUCACUGGGCUUAAAGCGUGUGUAGGCGGACUUCUAAGUGCCUUGUGAAAUCCCACGGCUCACCCGUGGAAACUGCUGGGCAUACUGGGGAGUCUUGAGCCACCUAGGGGGCAGCGGAACAAAAUGGGUGGAGCGGGUGAAAAUGCGUAGAUAUCAUUUUGGAAACGCCAACGGAGAAAAAUUCAGCUCGCUGGGGGUGUGCUGACGCUGGAGACACGAAAAAGCCCAGGGGGAGCGAACGGGG